rnacentral:tRNA from 1 species
UCUAAUUUGGCAGAAUUUUAUGCUUUGAAUUUAAGCUUCAAUUAUGAGUUUAUAACUUUUUUAGAA